rnacentral:rRNA from 1 species
GCUUACCGUGCAAGUCGAGGGGUAACAGGAGAUUGCUUGCAAUCUUGCUGACGACCGGCGCACGGGUGCGUAACGCGUAUAGAACCUACCUUAUAUUGGGGGAUAGCCCAGAGAAAUUUGGAUUAAUACCCCAUGGUAUGCUAGAGUGGCAUCACUUUAGUAUUAAAGAUUUAUCGAUAUAAGAUGGCUAUGCGUUCUAUUAGCUAGUUGGUAAGGUAACGGCUCACCAAGGCGACGAUAGAUAGGGGUCCUGAGAGGGAGAUCCCCCACACUGGUACUGAGACACGGACCAGACUCCUACGGGAGGCAGCAGUGAGGAAUAUUGGACAAUGGAGGCAACUCUGAUCCAGCCAUGCCGCGUGCAGGAAGACUGCCCUAUGGGUUGUAAACUGCUUUUAUAGAGGAAGAAACCGCUCUACGUGUAGAGCUCUGACGGUACUCUACGAAUAAGGAUCGGCUAACUCCGUGCCAGCAGCCGCGGUAAUACGGAGGAUCCAAGCGUUAUCCGGGAAUCAUUGGGUUUAAAGGGUCCGUAGGCGGGCUUAUAAGUCAGUGGUGAAAGUUUGCGGCUCAACCGUAAAAUUGCCAUUGAUACUGUAGGUCUUGAAUCAUUGUGAAGUGGUUAGAAUGUGUAGUGUAGCGGUGAAAUGCAUAGAUAUUACACAGAAUACCGAUUGCGAAGGCAGAUCACUAACAAUUGAUUGACGCUCAGGGACGAAAGCGUGGGUAGCGAACAGGAUUAGAUACCCUGGUAGUCCAYGCCGUAAACGAUGGUUACUAGCUGUUUGGACUUCGGUCUGAGUGGCUAAGCGAAAGUGAUAAGUAACCCACCUGGGGAGUACGUUCGCAAGAAUGAAACUCAAAGGAAUUGACGGGGGCCCGCACAAGCGGUGGAGCAUGUGGUUUAAUUCGAUGAUACGCGAGGAACCUUACCAAGGGCUUAAAUGUAGUCUGACAGCUUUAGAGAUAGAGUUUUCUUCGGACAGAUUACAAGGUGCUGCAUGGUUGUCGUCAGCUCGUGCCGUGAGGUGUCARGUUAAGUCCUAUAACGAGCGCAACYCCUGUUGUUAGUUGCCAGCG